CAAAAACAUCGCCUCUUGCUUAAUAAUAAGAGGUCUAGCCUGCCCAGUGACAAAGUUUAACGGCCGCGGUAUCCUAACCGUGCGAAGGUAGCACAAUCACUUGCUCUUUAAAUAGGGGCCUGUAUCAAAGGCAUCACGAGGGUUGCACUGUCUCCCUAUUCUAAUCAGUGAAACUGAUCUCCCCGUGAAAAAGCGGGGAUAAAACUAUAAGACGAGAAGACCCCAUGGAGCUUUAAACCCCUUUAGCAACUUAGCAAAACAAUCCCUUCCAGCUACAAAAUUAUGCUAAAGGUUUUAGGUUGGGGUGACCGCGGAGUAAAAACCACCCUCCGCAGCGAAAAGACCUUAGUCCUUAUCAAAGAGCUACAACUCUAAGAAUUAGCACACUAACGAACCAUGACCCGAUUAUCGAUCAACGAACCAAGUUACCCUGGGGAUAACAGCGCAAUCUACUUCGAGAGUUCAUAUCGACAAGUAGGCUUACGACCUCGAUGUUGGAUCAGGAUACCUCAGUGGUGCAGCCGCUACUAAAGUUCGUUUGUUCAACGAUUAAAAUCCU
rnacentral:rRNA from 1 species